UACGGGGGGGGUAAGCGUUGUUCGGAAUUACUGGGCGUAAAGGGCUCGUAGGCGGCCAACUAAGUCAGACGUGAAAUCCCUCAGCUUAACUGGGGAACUGCGUCUGAUACUGGAUGGCUUGGAUUCGGGAGAGGAAUGCGGAAUUCCAGGUGUAGCGGUGAAAUGCGUAGAUAUCUGGAGGAACACCGGUGGCGAAGGCGGCAUUCUGGACCGAUAUUGACGCUGAGGAGCGAAAGCUAGGGGAGCAAACGGGG
rnacentral:rRNA from 1 species